GACGAACGCUGGCGGCGUGCUUAACACAUGCAAGUCGAACGCUGAAGCCCUUCGGGGUGGAUGAGUGGCGAACGGGUGAGUAACACGUGGGUAAUCUGCCCUGCACUCUGGGAUAAGCCUUGGAAACGGGGUCUAAUACCGGAUAGGACACAUCGCCGCAUGGGGUGUGGGUGGAAAGUUCCGGCGGUGCAGGUUGAGCCCGCGGCCUAUCAGCUUGUUGGUGGGGUGAUGGCCUACCAAGGCGACGACGGGUAGCCGGCCUGAGAGGGUGACCGGCCACACUGGGACGGAGACACGGCCCAGACUCCUACGGGAGGCAGCAGUGGGGAAUCUUGCGCAAUGGGCGAAAGCCUGACGCAGCAACGCCGCGUGGGGGAUGACGGCCUUCGGGUUGUAAACCUCUUUCGACCGGGACGAAGGAUUCGUUUGACGGUACCGGUAGAAGAAGCACCGGCUAACUACGUGCCAGCCGCCGCAGUAAUAC
rnacentral:rRNA from 1 species